rnacentral:rRNA from 1 species
UGGGGAAUAUUGCACAAUGGGCGCAAGCCUGAUGCAGCCAUGCCGCGUGUAUGAAGAAGGCCUUCGGGUUGUAAAGUACUUUCAGCGAGGAGGAAGGCGUUGUGGUUAAUAACCGCAACGAUUGACGUUACUCGCAGAAGAAGCACCGGCUAACUCCGUGCCAGCAGCCGCGGUAAUACGGAGGGUGCAAGCGUUAAUCGGAAUUACUGGGCGUAAAGCGCACGCAGGCGGUUUGUCAAGUCGGAUGUGAAAUCCCCGGGCUCAACCUGGGAACUGCAUCCGAAACUGGCAGGCUAGAGUCUUGUAGAGGGGGGUAGAAUUCCAGGUGUAGCGGUGAAAUGCGUAGAGAUCUGGAGGAAUACCGGUGGCGAAGGCGGCCCCCUGGACAAAGACUGACACUCAGGUGCGAAAGCGUGGGGAGCAAACA